rnacentral:rRNA from 1 species
GACGAACGCUGGCGGCGUGCUUAACACAUGCAAGUCGAACGGAAAGGCCCUGCUUGUGUGGGGUGCUCGAGUGGCGAACGGGUGAGUAACACGUGAGUAACCUGCCCUUGACUUUGGGAUAACUUCAGGAAACUGGGGCUAAUACCGGAUAGGAGCUCCUGCUGCAUUGUGGGGGUUGGAAAGUUUCGGCGGUUGGGGAUGGACUCGCGGCUUAUCAGCUUGUUGGUGGGGUAGUGGCUUACCAAGGCUUUGACGGGUAGCCGGCCUGAGAGGGGGACCGGCGACCUUGGGACUGAGAGACGGCCCAGAGUCGUAUGGGAGGCGGAAGUGGGGAAUAUUGCACAAUGGGCGGAAGCCUGAUGAAGCAACGCCGCGUGUGGGAUGACGGCCUUCGGGUUGUAAACAGCUUUAGCCUGAGACGAAGCGUGAGUGACGGUAAUGGGUAAAGAAGCACCGGCUAACUACGUG